rfam:Actinosynnema mirum DSM 43827, complete genome.
CUGCCAUCCCGAGCGGCCGAGAGACCUGGCUCCACGACGCCGCAGCAACCACCCUCCCAAGGGGGCAGGUGCUUCCGCCAGGGUCGAUGGAGG